rnacentral:rRNA from 1 species
GAUGAACGCUAGCUACAGGCUUAACACAUGCAAGUCGCGGGGCAGCAUGUCGGUUGCUUGCAACCGAUGAUGGCGACCGGCGCACGGGUGAGUAACGCGUAUCCAACCUGCCCUUCACCACGGAAUAAUCCAGUGAAAAUUGGUCUAAUACCGUAUGAGGCCAUACGAUGGCAUCAGAAUAUGACGAAAGGUUUGGCGGUGAAGGAUGGGGAUGCGUCUGAUUAGCUUGUUGGUGAGGUAACGGCUCACCAAGGCGACGAUCAGUAGGGGUUCUGGGAGGAAGGUCCCCCACAUUGGAACUGAGACACGGUCCAAACUCCUACGGGAGGCAGCAGUGAGGAAUAUUGGUCAACGGGCGAGAGCCUGAACCAGCCAAGUAGCGUGCAGGAAGACGGCCCUAUGGGUUGUAAACUGCUUUUAUAUGGGGAUAAAGUGAGCUACGUGUAGUUUAUUGCAGGUACCAUAUGAAUAAGGACCGGCUAAUUCCGUGCCAGCCGCCGCAGUAA